GAUUGUAGUCUGCAACUCGACUGCAUGAAGCUGGAAUCGCUAGUAAUCGCGAAUCAGAAUGUCGCGGUGAAUACGUUCCCGGGUCCUUGUACACACCGCCCGUCACACCAUGGGAGCCGACAACGCCCGAAGUCAGUGACCUAACCGAGAGGGAGGAGCUGCCGAAGGCGGGGUUGGUAACUGGGGUGAAGUCGUAACAAGGUACC
rnacentral:rRNA from 1 species